rnacentral:rRNA from 2 species
UGGGGAAUAUUGGACAAUGGGCGAAAGCCUGAUCCAGCAAUGCCGCGUGAGUGAUGAAGGCCUUAGGGUUGUAAAGCUCUUUUACCCGGGAUGAUAAUGACAGUACCGGGAGAAUAAGCUCCGGCUAACUCCGUGCCAGCAGCCGCGGUAAUACGGAGGGAGCUAGCGUUGUUCGGAAUUACUGGGCGUAAAGCGCACGUAGGCGGCUUUGUAAGUCAGGGGUGAAAGCCUGGAGCUCAACUCCAGAACUGCCUUUGAGACUGCAUCGCUUGAAUCCGGGAGAGGUGAGUGGAAUUCCGAGUGUAGAGGUGAAAUUCGUAGAUAUUCGGAAGAACACCAGUGGCGAAGGCGGCUCACUGGACCGGUAUUGACGCUGAGGUGCGAAAGCGUGGGGAGCAAACAGG